UAGUUAUCAAGAAAGGUGGAGGGAAUAGACCCUAUGAAGCCUUAGCAACCUCCCGCUCCACGUGGAAAGGUGCUACAUUCUAUCCCUAAGUAGAUUUGGGAAAAGAUAGCAA
rnacentral:ncRNA from 2 species